ACCCAACUGACAAGUCUCAAAUGGGACGAAACGCGCGUUCUGGAU
rnacentral:hammerhead_ribozyme from 1 species